UACAGAGGAGCCAAGCGUUGCCCGGAUUGACUGGGCGUAAAGCGCACGCAGGCGGUCGGGCGCGUGGGGUGUGAAAUCUGGCCGCUUAACGGCCAGGCGCCAUCCCAUACGGCUCGACUGGAGUGAUGCAGAGGUCGAUGGAAUUGCCGGUGUAGUGGUGAAAUGCGUAGAGAUCGGCAGGAACACCCAGGGGGAAACCAGUCGACUGGGCAUCUACUGACGCUGAGGUGCGAGAGCGUGGGGAGCGAACCGG
rnacentral:rRNA from 1 species